GAUGAACGCUAGCGGCAGGCUUAAUACAUGCAAGUCGUGGGGCAGCAUGAGUAGCAAUACUUGAUGGCGACCGGCAAACGGGUGCGGAACACGUACACAACCUUCCGAUAAGUGGGGAAUAGCCCAGAGAAAUCUGGAUUAAUACCCCGUAACAUAUAGAGUAGGCAUCUUCUUUAUAUUAUAGCUUCGGCGCUUAUUGAUGGGUGUGCGUCUGAUUAGGUAGUUGGCGGGGUAACGGCCCACCAAGCCUACGAUCAGUAGCGGAUGUGAGAGCAGGAUCGGCCAAACGGGCACUGAGACACGGGCCCGACUCCUACGGGAGGCAGCAGUAAGGAAUAUUGGACAAUGGGCGAAAGCCUGAUCCAGCCAUGCCGCGUGAAGGAUUAAGGUCCUCUGGAUUGUAAACUUCUUUUAUUUGGGACGAAAAAAGGGAAUUCUUUCCCACUUGACGGUACCAAGUGAAUAAGCACCGGCUAACUCCGUGCCAGCCGCCGCCGUAA
rnacentral:rRNA from 1 species